rnacentral:tRNA from 1 species
UGCGAGAGUGGCGGAACUGGUAGACGCGCAGGAUUUAGGUUCCUGAGCCGAAAGGCGUGAGGGUUCGAGUCCCUCCUCUCGCAU